GCCGAGCCUGGUAACGUGGGCUUGUAACCUUAGUGGGGGCAUUGAAAUGGUGGAAUGUUUUGGCUGACUCAGAAGGUAGGACUUUGUGGGCUAUAUUCUGGACUGCCCUGUCCAAGCAUAGAGUUGGGCUAUGUAGCCCAAGUGAAGACAUGGGUCGCUUAGCUUCUAAAGAGGGGCGGAUCGCGUGAGGCUGGUUUCACAGAGCAACGAACAGCUCCCGGCACUAUUCAGUGGAAGGUUAACGGGCCCGUGUUUGCAAAGUCCAACAAAAGCCUGAUGUGCUGCUCCAAUUAAACCACCAUUUUU
rfam:Nicotiana attenuata strain TT chromosome 2, whole genome shotgun sequence.